rnacentral:tRNA from 1 species
UCCCUGGUGGUGCAGCAGUUAGGACUCUGUGCUUUCACUGCCAAGGGCCCAGGUUCGAUUCCUGGUUGGGGAA